rnacentral:pre_miRNA from 8 species
UCAUGCAUACCCAUAUAUACGUCUGUGUGUGUGUAUAUAUAUGUAUGUAUGUAUAUAUACACACAGAGAUGUAUAUAUGGGUAUGGAUGGU